CUAAUACGUGGAGCCUUGACGGUACCAGCGGAAUAAGCACCGGCUAACUCUGUGCCAGCAGCCGCGGUAUACAGAGGGUGCUAGCGUUAAUCGGAUUUACUGGGCGUAAAGCGUGUGUAGGCGGUUCGUUAAGUCGGAUGUGAAAGCCCUGGGCUCAACCUAGGAAUUGCAUUCGAUACUGGCGGGCUAGAGUACGGUAGAGGGCGGCGAAUUCCGGGUGUAGCGGUGAAAUGCGUAGAUAUCCGGAGGAACACCGAUGGCGAAGGCAACCGCCUGGGCCUGUACUGACGCUGAGACACGAAAGCGUGGGGAGCAAACAGGAUUAGAUACCCUGGUAGUCCACGCCGUAAACGAUGAGAACUUGACGUCGGUUUGCUCUGCGAAUCGGUGUCGUAGCUAACGCGCUAAGUUCUCCGCCUGGGGAGUACGGCCGCAAGGUUGAAACUCAA
rnacentral:rRNA from 1 species